CUGGAGACAAGGUCCGCCAGAGGCAGAACCAAUUCAAACAACACUGCAGAAAUCCAGGACUGACUUGAAGCCUAUAAGACAAUGGCCUACAAUCCAUUCUGGAGAAGCAAAUAAUGAAAUAACCUAACUUGACAAACCCAUGGCCUACUCCAGUUCACUGACCAAGGAUUCCAAACCAUCCUCUGCAAAAGUAUUCAUGCGUGAGCAACAGCACGGAAGAAAGAAAAAAGGCCCAUUAUUAUGGUAAACAGCAGAAGUGUAGAGAAAACACAGUUUUCCACUGGGAAAGAAACCAAAACACAUCUUUGAAAAAAUGUCUUUAGAUGAACAUAAAGACAAAAAAUGGUGGUAGAGUGGUCUAAAAAAACAGCACAUAUGGAGAAAAGUAUGAACAUCAUAGCAGGCUUGGAUGUUCUCUGUAGAUGUAGUUGUUUUACUGCUCAUCCUAUAGCUUUUGUUUGGAUAUUUUGCUGCAUUAUUC